rnacentral:rRNA from 1 species
AGUGAACGCUGGCGGUAGGCCUAACACAUGCAAGUCGAACGGCAGCACAGUAAGAGCUUGCUCUUACGGGUGGCGAGUGGCGGACGGGUGAGGAAUAAAUCGGAAUCUACUUUUUCGUGGGGGAUAACGUAGGGAAACUUACGCUAAUACCGCAUACGACCUACGGGUGAAAGCAGGGGAUCUUCGGACCUUGCGCGAUUGAAUGAGCCGAUGUCGGAUUAGCUAGUUGGCGGGGUAAAGGCCCACCAAGGCGACGAUCCGUAGCUGGUCUGAGAGGAUGAUCAGCCACACUGGAACUGAGGCACGGUCCAGACACCUACGGGAGGCAGCAGUGGGGAAUAUUGGACAAUGGGCGCAAUCCUGAUCCAGCCAUACCGCGUGGGUGAAGAAGGCCUUCGGGUUUUAAAGCCCUUUUGUUGGGAAAGAAAAGCAGCAGGUUAAUACCCCGCUGUUCUGACGGUACCCAAAGAAUAAGCACCGGCUAACUUCGUG